GGUGAUAUGGCGGAAUAGGAAACGCGUUGCUCGGCAAUAAACUUAGCAAUUUAUGCAGGUUCAAAUCCUGCUAUCACCA
rnacentral:tRNA from 1 species